rnacentral:lncRNA from 1 species
CCAAAACCCCCUAUCUCUGAAAACCCUAGCAACGCUACCCUUUCCUCCACCACCUUGAGCCCGGUGGCGCCGCCUCCAAACAACCCCAAAAUCACACACCUGAACCCUCUCGACCCCCUCUAUCCAAUUCUCAACACGGCUCCCCUCGAAUCUAUCCGGAACGUCUCGAAUUUUGAAUCUAAAGUUCGAACCUUAAAUCCCACAACAUCAAAUUGGCAAGGUUUUUAAGGAGUUGAGGUGGAAAGCGACUUUAGUCGUGUGCUUUCAGUUGAGAACACAAGAUUAAGGUCCAUAUCGAAAAAAAAUCGAAGAUUUAUUGAGGCUUGGUUCAAGACUGUGGUCCGCCUAGUUUUG